ensembl:snRNA U5 U5 spliceosomal RNA
AUACUCUGGUUUCUCUUCAGAUCCUAUAAAUCUUUCACCUUUUACUAAAGAUUUUUGUGGAGAGGAAAAAUAUCAAAGUUAGGGUGGCCAGC